UGGUGUUUCCUCAGCACUGGAUUCAGGCU
rnacentral:piRNA from 1 species